GCGGCAUCUCCUUGCAGCUGCCUGGAGGUGGGUCACAGGGCACGGCGCGCUGCAUUCUGUGACGGGGACCUGGGCCUCCCCCACCACAUGCAGGGCUGAGGAUCCAGGGCUCCAGGGACUGGGGGUGGAGUCCAGCACCAAGGAUGCGGCCAGGAGGCCCCUAAGCAGCCCCGAUGCUGGGUACUGUCUGGUGUCCCAGCCCCGCACCCCCUAGGGCCGUGGGACGUCAGCUCUGCAGGCUGCAGGACGUAGUAGGAAGCGGACAGUGCCAAGAUGGAGCUGUGCGUGGAUUUGGGGACCUUCAGGCCGCUUUGCAGAGCACAGGCUUGGGCCUCGAGGAGGACCGGUUUCCAGGAACAGCAGCAGCAGACAGGGGGCCGGCCGAGACUGACAGGGCCUGCGGAGCCGGAGGAAGGCUGGGGGCAGGGACACCACUCAGGACACCUGCAGGCUGGCGUCUCCACUGCCUGGACAUGGAGGCAGCCAGGACUGCCUGGCUGAAGACACGCAGGAAGGAGGACUCCAGAGCUGCUGCAGGAGGUGGCAGGGAUGAUGGGAAGAGUGUGUCUGAAGCGAAACAGAGGAUCUGAGGAGGCUGCACAGCAGUGGAACUGCCACCACAGAUUAGGACGUUGACCCAACAGGCUGCUAUGGAAAGAAGCAGGAAGCCGGAGGGAAAGUUCUGCUGCUCCGCUGCACCGCUGGGUGACAACAAUUAACAACAAUGAGCCUAAUACUUCACAGAAGCUGGAGAAGGGGUUGCCGAUGUUCCCACCAGGAAGAACCGAUCAAUGUCUGAGCGGGUGGAUCACCAAGUACCCUGAUUUGAUCCUUGCCCAAUGUGUGCAUUUGCUGAGAUAUCCCACUAUCCCACAUAAAUCUGUUCAAUUAUUACUUGUGAAUCAAAAAUAAAACAAAA
rnacentral:lncRNA from 1 species